AAGGAAUUGGCUUAAUGGUAGAGCAACCGUUUUACACGCGGAAGAUUAAGCGUUCGAUCCGCUUAUUCCUUA
rnacentral:tRNA from 1 species